UACGUAGGGUGCGAGCGUUGUCCGGAAUUACUGGGCGUAAAGAGCUCGUAGGUGGUUUGUCGCGUUGUCCGUGAAAACUCACAGCUCAACUGUGGGCGUGCGGGCGAUACGGGCAGGCUGGAGUACUGCAGGGGAGACUGGAAUUCCUGGUGUAGCGGUGGAAUGCGCAGAUAUCAGGAGGAACACCGGUGGCGAAGGCGGGUCUCUGGGCAGUAACUGACGCUGAGGAGCGAAAGCGUGGGGAGCGAACAGG
rnacentral:rRNA from 1 species